GGGGCUGCGGCUCAGUGGUAGAGCGCUGGCUUAGCGUGUGUGAGGCUCUGGGUUUGAUCCUCAGCACCUCA
rnacentral:tRNA from 1 species